rnacentral:ncRNA from 2 species
GAAUAAUGUGUAGAAUUGGGUGCACUAUUUUCAAUAGAUAGCUGCUUAAAAGGGAAAUCGGUUAGAAUCCGAUGCUGUCCCGCAACUGUAUGUAGGAGCAAACUUUUAGAUCCACUGUUAGAACUGUAAUGGGAAGGGAAAAGUGAGCGAUGAUGACAAGCCAGGAGACCUGCCUAGUUUAGUACACACCA